CCUACGGGAGACAGCAGUGGGGAAUAUUGCACAAUGGGGGAAACCCUGAUGCAGCGACGCCGCGUGAGUGAAGAAGGAUUUCGGUGUGUAAAGCUCUAUCAGCAGGGGAGAAGAAAGAGGGUACCUGACCAAGAAGCCCCGGCUAACUACGUGCCAGCAGCCGCGGUAAUACGGAGGGGGCAAGCGUUAUCCGGAUUUACUGGGUGUAACGGGAGCGUAGACGGCUGUGCAAGUCUGAAGUGAAAGCCCAGGGCUCAACCCUAGGACUGCUUUGGAAACUGUGGAGCUAGAGUACUGGAGAGGUAAGUGGAAUUCCUAGUGUAGCGGUGAAAUGCGUAGAUAUUAGGAGGAACACCAGUGGCGAAGGCGGCUUACUGGACGGUAACUGACGUUGAGGCUCGAAAGCGUGGGGAGCAAACAGGAUUAGAUACCCCAGUAGUC
rnacentral:rRNA from 1 species